AUGCAAUCUACCUUUUACAGAGGGAUAGCCCAGAGAAAUUUGGAUUAAUACCUCAUAGUAUAGCAGUUUCGCAUGAAACCACUAUUAAAGUCACAACGGUAAAAGAUGAGCAUGCGUCCCAUUAGCUAGUUGGUAAGGUAACGGCUUACCAAGGCUACGAUGGGUAGGGGUCCUGAGAGGGAGAUCCCCCACACUGGUACUGAGACACGGACCAGACUCCUACGGGAGGCAGCAGUGAGGAAUAUUGGACAAUGGGCGCAAGCCUGAUCCAGCCAUGCCGCGUGCAGGAUGACGGUCCUAUGGAUUGUAAACUGCUUUUGUACGAGAAGAAACACUCCUAUGUAUAGGAGCUUGACGGUAUCGUAAGAAUAAGGAUCGGCUAACUCCGUGCCAGCAGCCGCGGUAAUACGGAGGAUCCAAGCGUUAUCCGGAAUCAUUGGGUUUAAAGGGUCCGUAGGCGGUUUAGUAAGUCAGUGGUGAAAGCCCAUCGCUCAACGGUGGAACGGCCAUUGAUACUGCUGAACUUGAAUUAUUAGGAAGUAACUAGAAUAUGUAGUGUAGCGGUGAAAUGCUUAGAGAUUACAUGGAAUACCAAUUGCGAAGGCAGGUUACUACUAAUGGAUUGACGCUGAUGGACGAAAGCGUGGGUAGCGAACAGGAUUAGAUACCCUGGUAGUCCACGCCGUAAACGAUGGAUACUAGCUGUUGGGAGCAAUUUCAGUGGCUAAGCGAAAGUGAUAAGUAUCCCACCUGGGGAGUACGUU
rnacentral:rRNA from 1 species